rnacentral:rRNA from 1 species
GACGAACGCUGGCGGCGUGCUUAACACAUGCAAGUCGAACGGUAAGGCCCUUCGGGGUACACGAGUGGCGAACGGGUGAGUAACACGUGGGUGAUCUGCCCUGCACUUCGGGAUAAGCCUGGGAAACUGGGUCUAAUACCGGAUAGGACCCUGGGAUGCAUGUCCUGGGGUGGAAAGCUUUUGCGGUGUGGGAUGGGCGCGCGGCCUAUUAGCUUGUUGGUGGGGUGAUGGCCUACCGAGGCGCCGACGGGGAGCCGGCCGGAGAGGGUGACCGGCCACACUGGGACUGAGAUACGGCCCAGACUCCUACGGGAGGCAGCAGUGGGGAAUAUUGCACAAUGGGCGCAAGCCUGAUGCAGCGACGCCGCGUGAGGGAUGACGGCCUUCGGGUUGUAAACCUCUUUCAGCACCGACGAAGCGCAAGUGACGGUAGGUGCAGAAGAAGGACCGGCCAACUACGUGCCAGCAGCCGCAGUAA